AACGAACGCUGGCGGCAGGCCUAACACAUGCAAGUCGAACGCUCGUAGCAAUACGAGAGUGGCAGACGGGUGAGUAACACGUGGGAACCUUCCCUAUGGUUCGGAAUAGCCCAGGGAAACUUGGGGUAAUACCGGAUAAGCCCUUACGGGGACAGAUUUAUCGCCAUUGGAUGGGCCCGCGUCGGAUUAGCUAGUUGGUGGGGUAACGGCCUACCAAGGCGACGAUCCGUAGCUGGUCUGAGAGGAUGAUCAGCCACACUGGGACUGAGACACGGCCCAGACUCCUACGGGAGGAAGAAGUGGGGAAUAUUGGACAAUGGGCGCAAGCCUGAUCCAGCCAUGCCGCGUGAGUGACGAAGGCCUUAGGGUUGUAAAGCUCUUUUGGCGGGGAAGAAAAUGACGGUACCCGCAGAAUAAGCUCCGGCUAACUUCGUGCCAGCAGCCGCCGUAAAAC
rnacentral:rRNA from 1 species